CCUACGGGUGGCAGCAGUAGGGAAUUUUGCGCAAUGGGCGACAGCCUGACGCAGCAACGCCGCGUGAACGAGACGCCCUUCGGGGUGUAAAGUUCUGUCAGUGGGGACGAAAACUGACGGUACCCACAGAGGAAGCACCGGCUAACUCCGUGCCAGCAGCCGCGGUACUACGGCGGGUGCAAGCGUUGUCCGGCAUCAUUGGGCGUAACGAGUUCGUAGGUGGCAUGUAAAGUCAGGUGUUAAAGGCGCAGGCUCAACCUGUGUAUGGCACUUGAUACUUGCAAGCUGGAAUGCGGUAGAGGUAAAGGGAAGUCGUGGUGUAGCGGUGAAAUGCUUAGAUAUCAGGAGGAACAGCGGUGGAGUAAGCGCUGUACUGGGCCGUAAUUGACGCUGAGGAACGAAAGCCAGGGUAGCAAAUGGGAUUAGAUACCCCGGUAGUC
rnacentral:rRNA from 1 species